rnacentral:rRNA from 1 species
GUACACUCCUACGGGAGGCAGCAGUGGGGAAUUUUGGACAAUGGGCGAAAGCCUGAUCCAGCAAUGCCGCGUGAGUGAAGAAGGCCUUCGGGUUGUAAAGCUCUUUUGUCAGGGAAGAAACGGUGAAAGCUAAUAUCUUUUGCUAAUGACGGUACCUGAAGAAUAAGCACCGGCUAACUACGUGCCAGCAGCCGCGGUAAUACGUAGGGUGCAAGCGUUAAUCGGAAUUACUGGGCGUAAAGCGUGCGCAGGCGGUUUUGUAAGUCUGAUGUGAAAUCCCCGGGCUCAACCUGGGAAUUGCAUUGGAGACUGCAAGGCUAGAAUCUGGCAGAGGGGGGUAGAAUUCCACGUGUAGCAGUGAAAUGCGUAGAUAUGUGGAGGAACACCGAUGGCGAAGGCAGCCCCCUGGGUCAAGAUUGACGCUCAUGCACGAAAGCGUGGGGAGCAAACAGGAUUAGAAACCCUUGUAGUCCCAU